AUGAAAAUUAGCACUAGUGUUAAAAAGACACCUGCUUUCCAAUACAGGAAUCUAAAGUGAUUAGAAAAUUCAUUAUGUGCUUAUUUUGCCAGGUUGUGGUAUCAGUGCUAGUAAAUAAAUGAGCAUUUAAAAUUCUUUGUGGUUAACAGUGACCCAUUAUGUAUUGUAGAUUAAUAUCAUUUGAUGUUCAACUUGCAACAAAAGAGUAAAACUAAUCAUUUCAGUUCUUGGUAUUUUUUAUACUCUACCUUUCAAAAGUUUGGAUUCAGUCACAUAAACUCAGCAAAAUAUGAAAUAUCAUCUCUCUUUCGGCUGCUUUUACUUCCAGAAAACGUCUCAACUUGUAAAUAUUGUAUUAUCAAAAGCAUUUAAAAAUAAGCAGUCCUCAUUGCUUCCCUGCAGCAAGCCUAUGGCAUGUUCACACAGGCUAGCAGGGACUCUGGUCAUCAUUCCAUUGACAACUACGCAAUUGGGUCAAAGACGUGACGCUUGCUUUUUCUGUCCGACUGAACUUUUUACCAAUUAAUAAACAUUAAAAUGAAUAAAAUUAUAACAUGUAUGUCUACCACCUCCCUUAUACAUAUGCCCACUCUUAUUUCUUUAAAAAUAAUUGGUUUAUUGGCAUUUUCUGCUUGGACAACUGGUUUUAAAUCAAACUAAAAUAAUUUAAAUAUAAUCCUUACCCUAUUUGGCAUAAUUUUAAACUUGUUUUCCAUUGAUUGACAAAGUUAUGAAACAUGUGUACACACAUUUCAAUCAUAAUAAACAAACAAAUCUUGUCCGAAGAUGUUCAUUGUCUGAAAUAUCAUCUGGGGUGACCAUCAAGAAAAUACAAAUAAGGGAAUUUAUAUUUUGAUAAUCAUCUCAAAGAGGAUGUUGCAUCAGCCAGCCUCAUGGUGAGGGUCCCACAGAGACAACUAGCAGAUGGCCCCACUAACAAGCAAAGAAAAGACUGCUCGCUACAGGCAGCGGAAAAUGCUGUUCAAUGUGUCUGCAGAAUGCUGCUAUGUUCAACUGUUAAAUGAAAAUAGUAAUGAAAAGGCAAACAUUGUAUGUUUAAGUGAUUAAUGAAAUGAAAAUGAAAGAGGAAAAUGCUUUUCAAUGUUAUGUCCAAGCGUUUAAUGCAUUAGUAUUGUGGGAAUAUGCUGAUUCUCCAUAAAAUUUCAUUAAAAUAUGUUUUAACUAUCAAAAUCAUUGAAUAGUCUUAAUUGCCUGCUGUUUUUCAUCAUGUGGGGCGACCACUUGUCAUGUGGGGUAACCAACCAUAUUCAAUUCUG